rnacentral:rRNA from 1 species
CCCUUAGAUGUUCUGGGCUGCACGCGCGCUACACUGAUGCAUCCAGCGAGUUGUAACCUUGCUUGGUAAAGUUUGGUAAUCUGAGCCUAAUGUGCAUCGUGAUGGGAAUAGAGUUUUGCAACUAUUAAUAGGUAUUUCCAAUGAGUUUAAUGGCUAGAUCCCAGAUCUAUACCUUCUCUAUACCUUCUUGAACGAGGAAUUCCUCGUAAGCACGAGUCAUCAGCUUGUGCUGAUUACGUCCCUGCCCUUUGUACACACCGCCCGUCGCUCCUACCGAUUGGGUGCUCCGGUGAAUUGUUUGGACUGCUGUCAGUCUUUUAGGCUGUUGGCGAGAAGCUCUGUGAACCUUAGCACCUAGAGGAAGGAGAAGUCGUAACA